GCGACCGUGGUGAAGUGGAUAUCAUGCGGCCCUCCGAAGGCUGCGUCGCAAGUUCGAUUCUUGCCGGUCGCACCA
rnacentral:tRNA from 2 species